rnacentral:rRNA from 1 species
UACGUAGGGGGCGAGCGUUGUCCGGAAUCAUUGGGCGUAAAGCGCGUGUAGGCGGCUCGGUAAGUCCGGUGUGAAACCUUGGGGCUCAACCCCAAGCCUGCACUGGAUACUGUCGAGCUCGAGUCCGGGAGGGGAGAGCGGAAUUCCUAGUGUAGCGGUGAAAUGCGUAGAUAUUGGGAGGAACACCAGUGGCGAAGGCGGCUACCUGGACCGGUACUGACGCUGAUGCGCGAAAGCGUGGGGAGCGAACAGG